rnacentral:rRNA from 1 species
GAAGCAGGUUAAUAUUCCUGCACUUGUAAUAACUGCGAUGGAGGGACGGAGAAGGCUAGGCUAGCGCGGCGAUGGUUGUCCGCGUGAGAGGUCGUAGGCUGGAAUCUUAGGUAAAUCCGGGGUUCUAAGGCUGAGGACAAGGACGAAGCGAACCAACGUGUUCGCGAAGUAGUUGAUGCCAUGCUUCCAGGAAAAGCUUCUAAGCAUAGGUUAUUACGAACCGUACCCCAAACCGACACA